GAGGGAGAGAAGGAAACCAGAUGAAGGAGGCCAAGUGCUUUACAAACCAGUGAGCCUCAGUGGAGUUAACGUCAGUGGAGAGACUAGCCCGGCAGAUAACCAAAGGCACACGUUUCUGAAUAACAAGCUUUAGUCUCUGCCUCAGACAAACUGAACAAACCUGCAGAAAAGGACAAAUGUAAGCAUUUAAAAGGGUGAAUCCCCCUGAAGGCAUCCUCUGAUCAGAUUGGUUCAGACUUCCCAUUGCAGCUCCAUAAUCAUUUAACUUAAAAGCUGAUAUAUCCUUUCCUCUCCAUCCCAAUCUCACCCACAGUGAGGCAAAGCAGAACUGUCACAUUCUCCACAGGUCUCCAAAGCUCUAUGGGCUCCCAAGACAAUGGGAUGCCCAGAAAACAAGAUUUAUUAUGCUGGAUCAUGUGACUGGAACAGAUGUCCUCGACACAGGCAGCUCAUGCUGGCGUCACAGCACAGGAUACAACACAGGAACUUGAUUUGUCCAGGAUACACAUGAGCUUCUAACAGUCAAGGACCUUGAUCAUAUGUGAGAAUAUUUGUGCCAAAGGUUGGUGUACUUUCCUUAAAGCACUUUCUAGUACUAUUUCUACAAAGAGCUGAGUCUCAGAGUUAAAGUACAAAGGAUUAAAUGCUUGUUAGUUUAGAAAGCUUUCUUCCUGUCCACCUUCCUGCUUGCAGGGAGUCUCAAUAUGCAAGGGCCUUCUCCACAUGUACAAUAUGACUUGUAAUUGUCAAACAUGCUGAAAAUAUAAACAACUUUCUUUCACUGAU
rnacentral:lncRNA from 1 species